rnacentral:rRNA from 1 species
AGCUCCAAUAGCAUAUAUUAAAGUUGUUGCAGUUAAAAAGCUCGUAGUUGGAUUUCUGGCAUGAUGCGCCUGGCCCGCCUCGAUUACGAGGUGUGUGCGAGUGCGCGUCUGCCAUCCAUUUGCAGAAUAUAUCUACCCUUCAUUGGGCAGGAUAUGUGAUGUAAAUCUUUUACUUUGAAAAAAUUAGAGUGUUUAAAGCAGGCAUUUGCUAUGAAUACAUUAGCAUGGAAUAAUAAUCUAGGACUUCGGUUCUAUUUUGUUGGUUUCUAGAUCUGAAGUAAUGAUUGAUAGGGAUAGUUGGGGGUGCUAGUAUUAAGGGGCCAGAGGUGAAAUUCUUGGAUUCUCUUAAGACUAACUUAUGCGAAAGCAUUCACCAAGGAUGUCUUCUUUAAUCAAGAAC